AAGUCGUAACAAGGUUUCCGUAGGUGAACCUGCGGAAGGAUCAUUAACACGUAUCCACACGUAUCCCACCCUCAUGCGAAUUUGUUUUCAACUAUUGUUUAAUACUAAACAAACCAUUUUCACCUUUAAAACUUUUGCUAGUUGACUUUGUUUUAAAAAAGGAAUAUAUAUGCAUGCAUGUAUAUUUCUUUUGUUAAUUUUCUAAUCUAUUUGAAAAUCAACACACAUACAACUCUUAGCAAUGGAUAUCUUGGUUCUC
rnacentral:misc_RNA from 1 species